CCUACGGGUGGCAGCAGUCGAGAAUCAUUCACAAUGGGGGAAACCCUGAUGGUGCGACGCCGCGUGGGGGAAUGAAGGUCUUCGGAUUGUAAACCCCUGUCAUGUGGGAGCAAAUGAAAAAGAUAGUACCACAAGAGGAAGAGACGGCUAACCCUGUGCCAGCAGCCGCGGUAAUACAGAGGUCUCAAGCGUUGUUCGGAAUCACUGGGCGUAAAGCGUGCGUUGGCUGUUGCGUAAGUCGUGUGUGAAAGGUGCGGGCUCAACCCGCGGACGGCACAUGAUACUGCGAGACUAGAGUAAUGGAGGGGGAAGCGGAAGUCUCGGUGUAGCAGUGAAAUGCGUAGAUAUCGAGAGGAACACUCGUGGCGAAGGCGGGUUCCUGGACAUUAACUGACGCUGAGGCACGAAGGCCAGGGGAGCGAAAGGGAUUAGAUACCCCAGUAGUC
rnacentral:rRNA from 1 species